GGAGAGCCCUCUCUUUAUGGGAUUUGCUAUGCAGGAAGCCAUCAUGCCAGCACGUGGGGAGAGAAUGCUUAGGAACAGAGCCCUUGGAGAGGAACAUAGAGACAAGAGAAGUGCUUUGUAAACCAGAAAGCGCUGAGCACAUGCAAGGUUUUGAUUGGAACUGUCAGCACUGGGAAGGAACUGGGAAGUGGCAGGACAGCCCGAAUGUUCGUGCUGAGAGAGACCGGAGCGACGGACUCAUCCAGCCUCUUCAUCUGACAGGGGCCCCAGAAUCAUGCGGACACCUCCACACCUGACCUCAGAAAACCUGGCUCCUAUUCUGGCCUGUCCCUGCCUCACUUGGGAAAGAAGCUCCUUGUCUCUGAGCCUAUUUUCACAACGGGAUGUGUCCUGGAAGGGGACUGGGCCCAGAGCAGGUCUGCCUUGGAGACAGGAUCAGAGGGGGAGCUGCUGCAGCCCUUUGCUCCUCUGGUUGCAAGUCUCCUGGGACCCUUGGGGUUUAGGAGAGAGGAAGUCAAGCUGCAUGCCCCAGGAGGGGCAUGGGCGUGCUCCCGAGACAGCCCAGCCUGGCAUCUGGGGAAGGGUUUCAGCAGAAUAGUCAUCAGCUUUCCAAGUGCGUUUGUAAUAUGCUGACGCAUCAAAGUGAGCAUGCAGGAGAGUUUGGGGUUAUUCUUUGGUCAGCUUUGCUGUUUUACUUUCAUCCUGGGCCUGCCUGGCUCUAACUGGGUUUUUGUCAUUCGUUCCUCUGCUUCAUCAGUCCUUGGGUUUGGCUGGCACCAGUGGCAUUAACUGGGUCCUCCUUGUCCUCUAGCUCUCUGACCAGAGUUAUUUAGGCUAUUUGUUCUCUGGUUAGGGAGGAGAGGUUUAAACCACUUGUUCUCAAGGGUCCUUGGUGAAGGACGAUAAGGUCUUGUGAUUCACUAGCUGGCUGUGAAUCGGUCAAAUUGUUCCACCUUGUUUAGUUAUUUUGUCUCAGUUUCCCCAUUUCACUUGCCCAGGAAUUACCUAGCCUCAGGCUAUUCUGCCUCAGAUGGAGAAGCUCAAAAAUCUGUUUUAACAUGAUUGGCAGGUGAGCGGAAGGAAGACACGCCCAAUAUCCUACAAAGAAAUGUAAACUGAAACAACGGUGAGCCCUGGCCAGUGUGACACUGUUGGUUGGAGCGUCAUCCACCAAAAUGUCCUGGUCAGGACACGCGCCUGGGUUGCUGGUUCAGUCCCUAGUCAGGGCAUGUAUGAGAAGGCAACCAAUCAAUCUUUCUCUCAUUGAUGUUUCUCUCUCUCUCUUUCUCUCUCUCUCCCUCCCUCUCUCCCCCUCCCACCCUACCCCUUUCCCUCUUUCUAAAAGCGAGGAAAAAAAUGUCCUCCGGUGAGGAUAAGAAAACAAAAACAGCGAGGCAAAAAGUAAUAAUAGCCAGUGUUGGCCGGCAUGAGCUGAAACGGGCACUCGGUACCCGUGAGGGCGGCAUCGGCACUGUCAGGCCCUGUAGUCAAGGUCUUUUAAACAUGGUGUGUAUGUCCUCUGGCCUAGAAACUCCACUUCUGGGAUUUCGGUCUAAGGAAAUCAUGGGAAAAUUUGACUA